UAAAAUAUAGUUAUGUAUAGUUUUAUACGCAAGGAAAGCCAAACGGGCAUGAUGUUUAAUUUUUAAUACGCUUUUAUUAGCUUCAGACGUAUGUAUGUUAUAAUCUUCGAUCAAUAAUACUACUAGAUUCGCGAUUAGCGCUUCAAAAACGGCCCGAAAAAUAAGACCACAAAUAAAUUUGUGGUCUUAUUUCAAAUUAGUAUGGUCCAAUCAUAGCCAACACUAAGACGUCAAAACGCUGCAAUGCGCGUUCAAAAACUGAGUAAAAAACCACCGUAACACCAAGGUUUUGGAAGGAAUAUCUUUUUUUGGUAAAUUUAUAUUAUUAAGUGUUUUUCAUAAAAUAAUAAACACAAUUAUAUUGUAAAUAAAACACAAUUUACGAAUAUUGUAAUUGUUUGGCCAAUGUUUGCAACAAGGCACCAACUAUUGUAACAAACAUCACCUAUUCUUGGACAGGGAAUGCAUAGAGUAGUUUUGUUAUUUUAUAAUGUUAUUUUUGUUUGUAGAUUUCCUAGUAGCCCCUUGUCGCUGUGCACAAUGGAUAUAUAUUGUCGCGAAAGAAAGAGAAGAAAUAUAGAACCCUUAUAAAAAUUCUAGAAUUGUUCAAUGGUGGUGGCAAAUCAAUGCAAAAAAGUAUUAAAAAAACUUUAUAUGUAUGUGUAAAUAUUUUAAGCGUAUAUGCUGAAAAGGAUUUGUUUUCUGGGGGAAACGAACACAGCCAUAAAAUAAGCCUAAAUUAAACUGAUUAUAGAAAAAUUCAUUGAUAUAAGAUUACAUUAUAUUUGUAAAAAAGAAACCGCUCAUAUAAAAAUGACUUCUAAAAGACAGCUUUAUAACAAACUGAAUCUGUUUAAAGGUAAUUAAACCUACAUUAUUGUUUUAAUUACUUCUGUAUAAAGAAUACGUGGAAAACAUGUUUCGUGUUUCCUUUCAUAUUUUUUUUACUUUAUUCAAUUUUAUUUUUUAUCACCUAUUUGUUGUAAUAGCGGCAAUGUCAAAUAUUAUCUACUACUUUUUCAAUCGGUCAAAAAUAGUUGCGACCAUACAAAACAAACCUAAAACAAAUAUGUAUAUUCUGCAACUCUAUGUCUUUCAAUAUUUACUGUGUUCUGAGCAUUGAAAUGUAAUACCAAGAACUACAUCUAGUUCCACAAUACAAUAAGCCCGAAAUUUUAAACAAAUAUUUUUAACCUUAUAAAUUAGGCUUUAAGUAUCAUUUUAGAAUAAAUAUUUUUGUACUGAUGACUUUUUAUGUUCAAGUGACAUUUUAAAUUUAUUCCAUAAUAUUCUUUUUCUGACGAAAGGACCUAAAUACAUAUAUUUUGCAAUGGUAAUUAAACUUUAUGUUUAAGUAUUAAGGUUUAUAAUAAACUGAAGUCGUUAACAUUAUUAAACUUUUUUCUAAGACAUGAAGAUGUUUUCGUGUCUGCAAACGUGGCCACUGGAGCGUCUCAUUUUUGUUCCUGAUCCUUAAUCUAGUACUAUUAUUGAUCGAAGGCCGGGAGCAUGUUAACGAAUCAACGUCACGUGAUACAUUGAUGGCUGUGAUUGGCCAACGAUGACGUCAUAUCGCACGAACCAAUCACAAAACAGGAAACGCAACAGUGGCACCAAUUGUCAAAAUUUAAAAUUAUUAUAACACGAAGAAAAAAGAUGGACGCGCAUUUCAAUUUUGUAUUUGUAAAAUAAUUAAAAACAAUAUAAUGAGUAUUUGAAGAAGUAAA